UAUGCAUGAAUGCCAUCAAGGGCGAACGCAGAGGGACUGAGUCCAGGCGCGGAUCCAAGGGGGGGGCCAUGGGAGCGAUGCCCCCCCCCAAAUAUCAUGAAACGAAAAAAAAAAUCAUCAUAUUUAAAAAUUAUAUUUUUUUAUAGCGACUAUGAAAAAAAACUGUUUAGGCUGUUAUUUCUUAGUUUUUAUGUUCAUCAUAAAUAUUAAAUAAUAAUAUAUUACUAUAUUGUUUUGCGGAUCGUUGAAUCGUUCUAUUUAUAAUUCGGUAAUUUCUAAUCGCGCCGACUGACGACAUGACGGGCACUGGUCGUCGUCUCAUAUCGUAAUCGCCCGCAUUGAUAUGUCUACCGUUAUAACUUAUAAAAUAUAUUUUCAUUCCGUAUCAUUCAUUUUGUUCUGUGCAACUAUACAUGAACUACUGAGUACUAACAACGAAGACAAUACAUCUUUAAAAAUGCAAUGCAAGUGCUGAGAGAACGUUUUCAACACUACGAAGACUCAAAACAUGGCUGAGAUCAACAAUGUCAGAGACCAGAUUAACUGGACUUGCUCUUUUAAAUAUCCACCGUGAUAUUGAUGUAGACGUGAAUAAAGUCAUUGACAUGUUUUCAAAAACCAACAGAAAAUUAGAUUUUGCUCUAUAAUUUUUAUUUUUAUUUCAUAUUUAAUAUUUUUUGAUUGUUCUUAAAUAAAGCGUUUUCUUUUCAA